rnacentral:rRNA from 1 species
UGAGGAACAUGACCUUCGGCGGGGGAUAGCCGGCCCAACGGCCGGGUAAUACCGCGUACGACCACAUGGGGACAUCCCUGAGUGGUGAAAGCAGCAAUGCGCCGAUGGAGUGCCUCGCGGCCUAUCAGCUAGUUGGUGAGGUAACGGCUCACCAAGGCAACGACGGGUAGCUGGUCUGAGAGGAUGGCCAGCCACAUUGGGACUGAGACACGGCCCAGACCUNUACCGGGAGG